CACGAGGAGACAGAAAGCCUACUGUGACUUUUACAUUGCUGGUUCAUUCGGUUAAAACAACCUGACGGAAAUAUCAACGAUGCACUGUGACUACCUCGACAGUGGACCAGACUGAACGGACUUCAAACGAGGAUUUUUGACUAUACUCCAAAGGAUUUUCUAAAUGGGUACUGAAAUUACCAUGCAACAAGGAAUCAAACUUGUAUGAAUAAAUAAAGAAAUAGAUCAGACCGCUACAAUCAGGGACUGUAUUUAGAAAAAUUCUGAGAAAACUCUCAGAGCUGGAUUACACAAGAAAUACAGUUAAAAACAAAUAAAGUUAUCUUUUUAUCCCUGAACAACACAUCAAGAUGAAGACACAGUGAAUGUUAUUACCCGUCACUUUUUUCAUGCUGGGAACAUUCAACAACAAUUGGAUUUUUGGACACAUUUUCCACAUUGCCAUGUCCAAUCGCUUUGAAACAAGAGAAGAUAUUACAUUUCAAAAACUCAGAGCUCAAUACCCCAGGAUCAACCAAUACAACCCAAGUUGCCUAUUCAAUGUGUAACAGACCCGAGUGGUUUGAAUGGAGUUGUUGUGUAUGGAGAUCACACCUAUGCAUUAACAAAUCCCCUGAUUGGGAACCACGUGGACAACUCAACCAAUGUGGGUGGUGUGUUGGAGCAGCAAAGCUCAGUCGUCUUGUAAUAAUCCGGGGGUUCCAGCUGCUCGGACCAAACCAAGAAACCACGAAGAGUGUGGAGCUGGAGUAACACACAUAUGCUUACAAAACAGUUCAACACAGGGAAACAGUAUCGUGUUUCAGCUGACAGGGGACGUGGUCUGUGAAGCAGCAGGUUUGGCAACAAGGAAGCAGAUACUUAUCAAAGUAUCUGAAGGGGAAAGGCAGAAAAAAGCAUACAGUUUGUACAAAGCCUUACUUUUUAAAGGGUUUUUAUCCAUGUUUUAGGGAUCCUAAUAAUUAUGCUGUUCUUUUUUAUAUUAUACUUGUUUCCAUGCACUCUUAAAAGAUCUCAUCUGAACAUAUUUCUGUCAUUCAAACACCUAAAAACUUUAUUUAAAAAAAAAAAGUUUGUUAGCAGGCUUCAUUGAUUUAUAUUUACAGUCAGGUUAUUCCUGGUAGGCUAAUUACAUAAAAUAAAGCAUGACACAAACUUGCUGCUGGAUUCACAGACCACCUACAACAAAGCAUGCAUCUAUCAGUCACAUGUUACAUUCUACUUUUAUGUACAAUAAACAGUCUGGACAUACAGAGUUUUAAAAAGUAAUGUAAUGUAUUGUUACAGAUAAUGUGGAAACUGGGGAGUGCAGGAACACAUCACCCCCAGACAACCUGAGCCAGGCAGAGUCAGGAGGAGCAGGAGAGGGGGGCCUAGGAUCUGAGGCCAGUGUCUCCAGAGAAGCAAAUCCAUGCGCCUCUGGGAGUGCCUCGCUUGCUGAGGGCUGCGUCGGGCUAGGUCCUCAUUACACUGCGCAGGAAUCGCAGAUAGAGAUUGUUGAUACAAUGAAAGAUAUGUUGCAGAAAAUUAAAAAGAAUGAAUGAUGUUCUUGAUGGAAUAAGUCACAUAUUGAAAGACCAUAAUAAAAAUAAGAAAUGGAGCCUAGCGGUUAGUUAGCACACCCCAUAUAAAGAGGCUUUAAUAUGCAAGAGGUCUUGCUGUCCAGGUUUAAAUCCGGCCUGUGGAUCCUUUCCUGCAUGUUAUUCCAAACUCUCUCUCCAUGUUUUCUGAAUAUAUCCACUGUCCUAUCUCUAAAAUAAAUGCAUAAAAAGCCCAAAUAAGAUAAAUCUUAAAAACAAAACAAAAAUAAAGAGAAAUACUUGCCUCAUCUUACCGUGUUGUUUCACAUUCUGUGCAUCACAUUGAAAUGGAGAUGUAUAGUUGAUGUGUUUGGGACAUUGUUAGGUGCAGGGUCGCGGUCCGGUUUGCCUCCUGAGGCACAUUCACAACACGUUUUUUCUCAUUUCUUGCACAGGAGCUGGGAGUGCACCUCGCUUCCUUUGCAUCACAUAUGUGCGCACACAACAACUGUACAGUAGAGGCUGACAGGACAGGAAAAAUAAGUCAAUUUGAUGUGAUGCCGAGAAUUGACGCACAGGGCAACAGAGUUUAAAGCUUUCAUGACACUUAACUGUCCUUAAUAUCAUUAACUAAGAGACCCAUAAGAACCUUUCAGUGUUUGCCUAUAUUUGAUUUUUACUCUGGAACUUGCUCUGUUAACAGCCGCAUCAAGUAUUACACUUCCAAACAAUCUGCAUUAUCUCAGAUAAUUGAAUAUUCCACCUAAUACAGAUUUAUGUGCAUGAUAAUAAAUUGUAUUAGCAAAGAAAAUAAAGAACAUUUAACAUAA